rnacentral:tRNA from 1 species
GGUUGUGGCUCAGUGGCAGAGCGCUUGCCUAGCAUGUGUGAGGCACUGGGUUCAACUCUCAGCACCA